GAGAAUUGUGAUUAUGAUUGACAUUCAAUUAAUUCCACUCUCUAUUUCGUCUAUUAAUUUGUUAAUUAAUUUCGUUUAUUAAUAGGGUAUUAUUUAUCUAUUAAUUUCAGCUUAGCAAUCAAUUUAUUAAUUUGAAUUAAUUUAAUUUUAUAGGAAAUUGAACGUUUUUUUUCUAAAAAACGUAGAGGUGAAUCUUCAAGUUGUUCAAUUACACCUUUUAUUGGAGCAAAUGCUGAAGCAAAUGUAGAAGUUGAAGAAAAUGUGGAAACUGAAACAAAUUUUAAUGAAUAUGUUCGUGAUCCGGGAUUAAGGAAACCAAUUGAUGAGUUUGAUAUUGCUAUUCGAGAUCAAGUACGUAGAGAAUAUUGGUCUAUGGGGCCUUGUCAAGUAGUUGGACAUACAUAUCCGAAGACUGAAUUCGGCACUCAAUUAAGGAGUUUUCAAGAUGCUUGGUAUGAAAAGUUUGUGUGGUUAGAGUAUAGUGUUGCAAAAGACGCUUGUUUUUGCUUUUGGUGUUAUCUUUUCAAGCCACAGGAUAAAGCGAGUAAGUAUAGAGCAGAUGCAUUUACCAAGACAGGAUUUAGCAAUUGGAAGAAGGCCUUGGUUAAAUUUGCAGAACAUAUUGGAAAUGCAGAUAGUUGUCACAACAAUGCCAGAAUGCAAAUUGAAGCCUUUAAAGAUCAAAGACAUAGUGUGGCAUCUAUGUUUAGAUCACAAGCUCGUGAGUUGGAUGUUGCUUACCGCGCUCGUUUGACGGCUUCAUUGGAUGUGAGUCGUUUUCUAUUGAAGCAAGGAAUGCCUUUUCGUGGAAACGAUGAGUCAACUAGUUCUUCAAAUCGAGGUAAUUUUCUUGAGUUGCUUCAUUGGUAUAGUGAUCAUAAUGAUGUUGUUUCCAAAGUUUUGGGUUCAAAUGCUCCUGGUAAUAGUCAAAUGACUUCUCCACAAAUUCAAAAAGAUUUAGCACGUGCUUGUGCUUCAGAGGUUACACUUGCUAUAAUUAAUGAUAUUGGGGAUAAAGUGUUUACUAUGUUGGUUGAUGAGGCUCGGGAUGUAUCAUUGAAAGAGCAAAUGGGGGUAGUUUUAAGAUAUGUGAAUGAUAAAGGAUGUGUAAUUGAAAGAUUUAUUGGCAUUGUGCAUGUUGUUGACACUUGUUCACAUUCUCUUAAAGAUGCUCUUAGUGCUUUAUUUGUGAAACAUGGUUUAUCACUAUCAAAACUGCGAGGUCAAGGAUAUGAUGGAGCUUCAAACAUGAGAGGUGAGUUCAAUGGGUUGAAGGCCUUAAUCUUGGAAGAAAAUCCUUAUGCUAUGUACAUUCAUUGUUUUUCACAUCAAUUUCAGUUAAUUGUUGUUGCUGUUGCUAAGAGUAUCAUGGCUGUGAAGGAUUGUUUUAGCUAUGUUUCCAUGAUUGUGAAUACAACUGGAGCAUCUUGCAAAAGAAAAGAUCAGCUUAGAAUGUUAGAACAUGAGAGAUUAGUCAAAGAACUCAAUGAUGAAGUAAGGACAAGUGGAAAAGGCCAAAAUUAGGAGACAAGUUUGGUAAGACCUGGAGAUACUCGAUGGGGCUCACAUUAUGCGACUUUGCUUCGUUUAUGUGCUAUAUGGCCUUCAGUGCUCUUAGUGUUGGAGAAUAUACGUGAUGAUACAACUAGCUCUGAUGUUAGAAGUACUGCAAGAGGUUUGCUUCGGAAGAUGAAUGAUUAUGAGUUUGUGUUUGUGAUGCAUUUGAUGAAAUAUUUGUUAGGAAUCACAAAUGAAUUGUCAUAUGCAUUACAAAGAAGGGAUCAAAAUAUUGUGCAAGCCAUGAUUUUGAUUGAUGCAGUGAAAUCUCAACUACAUGACUUCAGAAACACUGGGUGGGAAAUAAUUUGUGAUGAAGUCAAUAGAUUUUGUGAGGUGAAUGCUGUUUAUUUGAUUGAUAUGGAAGACACGAUAACACGACCUGGUUAUAGAAGGCAGAGCAUCACCAAUGAUCAUUAUUACCGUGUGGAGAUUUUUACAGAGGUUGUUGAUUUAAUCAUACAAGAGAUGAAUAAUCGUUUUUCUGAAGCUAGCACCGAUCUACUUAGAUGCAUGGCAUGUCUUGAUCCAACAGAUUCUUUCUCCCAAUUUGACAUUAAUCAACUCAUGCGUUUUACUACUUGGUAUCCUGAAGACUUCUCCGCAGGUGAUUGUUUAUGUCUGCCACAACAACUCCGUAAUUUCAUAGUACUUGUGCGGCAUCAUCCUCGCUUUUCUACGAUCACUGAUUUGGGAAGUUUUGCUCAAGAAAUGGUUAAAAGUGGCAAUCAUUUAAUUUUUCAAUUAGUUUAUCGUAUGAUUGAGUUGACAUUGGUUUUACCUGUAGCUACUGCUUCUGUUGAGAGAGCAUUUUCUGCAAUGAAGCUCGUCAAAAGUGAUUUGCGAAAUCGUAUGCAGGACGAGUGGAUGAAUGACAGUUUGAUCGUGUACAUUGAAAAGGAUAUUUUCUCAACAAUUGAUAAUGAGAAGAUAUUGCAACGUUUUCAGUCGAUGAGUACACGUCGCAAUCAAUUGUCAUCACUUUCUCAAACAGAAACAACUAGUUCACCAAGUAUUUAUUCUUAGGUUAUUUGUAAUGUAUUGAACUUUUAUAGCUAUGUUAUUUCAACUGUAUUAGAA